rnacentral:rRNA from 1 species
UACGGAGGGUGCGAGCGUUAUCCGGAAUCACUGGGUUUAAAGGGUGCGUAGGCGGUCUGAUAAGUCAGUUGUGAAAUUCCCCGGCUUAACCGGGUGGACUGCGAUUGAUACUGUCAGACUUGAAUCAGGCUGAGGUAGGCGGAAUGUGACAUGUAGCGGUGAAAUGCUUAGAUAUGUCAUAGAACACCAAUUGCGAAGGCAGCUUGCUAUGGUAUAAUUGACGCUGAGGCACGAAAGCGUGGGGAUCAAACAGG